GUGCUCGCUUCCGCAGCACAUAUACUAAAAUUGGAACGAUACAGAGAAGAUUAGCAUGGCCCUUGUGCAAGGAUGACAUGCAAAAAAUAUGCAAUUAAAUUAUUAAU